ACCAUCACCCAACUGAAGGUGUCGGUUUGGUAGCGUGUAGUAGGUAGGCGAAUUAGAGUAAGCAAACUGUCGGGUGUUGAAUUCGUCCCGGCGCAAAAAGUAAAUAUUGGGGAGGAAGAUUAUUUUGUAAAUUGAGAAAAAGUUACUGUAUCGUAGCCAUUGCAAAGUUAGAUGAAUUGAAUUCGAGCGCGUAGACAAAUUUCUAGUUUUUUUACGCAAUUGUGCAAAGUAGAAUUGAAAAGUGCUGUGGAAGGAGAAAUAGCAGUUCGGAAUUGGUUUUCGAGAUUUCGGAUAUAGCUUUUGGUGAUCAAGCCCGAGCGAACGAAACCUGCAAAGAAAAGGAUAAUUAAACGCAAACUAUAAAAUGUCUUCAUUUCAAUUUGAGCAGAUAUGAUGCCACCCAGCCGAUUUUUUCAAUAUUUUGUUAAAGGCAUGUCAACUUCAAAAGCUUUGUGAAGGACGGUCUAAUUAUUCGUAUGGCGUUAUACAGUUCCAAAGACAAGAUUAUUAACCAAUCAUAAAUAUGUAUUUAAUAAAAGCAAUUUCUUGAAAAAUGUAUAA